rnacentral:tRNA from 1 species
AAGGAGUUAGUUAAAAUAUAACAUUAGAAUGUCAAUCUAAAGUAACUAUAAAUAGUACACCUUG